AAUAGGAAGAUCGAAUCAUAAGUGUAGAGUACACGAGCGGCGACGGGUGAGUAACACGUGGGAACCUACCCCAGAUUGAGGGAUAAGCACCGGAAACGGUGUCUAAUACCGCAUAUGGGUCUUCGGGAUUAAAGCUUCGGCGAUCUGGGAAGGGCCCGCGCAAGAUUAGCUAGUUGGUGAGGUAAAGGCUCACCAAGGCUACGAUCUUUAGCUGGUUUGAGAGGAUGAUCAGCCACACUGGAACUGAGACACGGUCCAGACUCCUACGGGAGGCAGCAGUUAGGAAUUUUCCACAAUGGGCGAAAGCCUGAUGGAGCAACGCCGCGUGCAGGACGAAGGCCUUCGGGUUGUAAACUGCUUUUAUACGUGACGAAUAUGACGGUAGCGUAUGAAUAAGGAUCGGCUAACUCCGUG
rnacentral:rRNA from 1 species